UCAGACAGCACUUGCUAUGGAGAAGGGCAGCUCUCAACCAGAUCAUGAUUAUGAAAACGUGGACAUUAAGCAGCCGACAAGCAGAAGGGCAGGAGCACAACAUGGGGCACUAGCUCUGGGGAUGAACGAGUAUGCAUCAGAUUCUAUCUAUGCAAACACAGUCAGCAAGCAGCCCCAAUGCAUAAGACCAGGAGAGCAACAAUGGGAUGGCUAAACACGUUCCUGAGCUGUCGCUUUUGGGCCAGCACAAGCCGGAACUGCACUUCACGAACUUUCACCAAAUAGUCUGUUAUCACCCACCAUGAGCACUAAUACACACUCCCUGGACUGGUGACCGUGUUUUAGCAUUAUGGGACGGAUAGCGAUUAUUGUUUAGGACUGUAAACCCAUUUGUUUGGCUCUGCGCAUUACACAUUGUUGUGUAUUGCCGGA